UGUCGGCUUCCCUCAUCACACCGGAAGCUGUUACGUCACUUCCGCUGUAUCAGCUCCAGCUGUGAUGAGUGAAGGGGCA
rnacentral:pre_miRNA from 1 species